UGCUACGUUCGUCGCGCCAGUCAAACUCAGCGAUGAGCCAGGGAACCCGGUGAGAGUCCGGGACUGACGCGCAGCGGUGAGGGUGACGGGCGGGGCACGAAGCCACUGGACCGAGAGGUCUGGGAAGGCGCUCCGUCCGGUCGAUCCCGAGUCCGAAGACCUGCUGGCCCUCACGGCGACCG
rnacentral:ncRNA from 1 species